rnacentral:lncRNA from 1 species
CGCCUGAACCGCAGCAGCCAGGUGUUCCUCCAGAACCUCCUCCCACAGGAGCUUGCUACAAGUGCUGGAAAUCUGGCUACUGGGCAAAGGAAUGCCUGCAGCCCAGGAUUCUUCCUAAGCCACAUUCCAUCUGUGUGGGACCCCCCCUGAAAAUCUGACUGUUCAACUUACCUGGCAGCCACUCCAAGAGCUCCUGGGACUCUGGCCCAAGGCUCUCUGACUGACUCCUUCCCAGAUCUUCUCAGCUUAACGGCUGAAGACUGACACUGCCUGAUCGCCUCGGAAGCCCCCUAAACCAUCACGGAUGCCGAGUUUCAGGUAACUCUCACAGUGGAAGGGUAUUGUACGUGUCAUUCAGAAAUGUGUUCCUGCUCAUUCAGAGCUCUGAAAAAGAGUUGACAAACAUCAGAGGAGAAUUGUGGCUAACGCAGAAAUAAUAGGAAGAAAAAAAUCAAUGUAGAGAUGUAAUUGAAGCUGGCCACUUAUUGACACAAUGACAAAGCUAAUUCCCAAUGCCGAUGGUGAUGCCUCUGCUCAGCUGAAUUUAAUAUCUCUGGACAAAGCCCUUGAAAUGCUGUAUCCCCUUUGUGAGGGGAAGAGGAGGAAGGCAAUGGAGAACUCCAUUUGAGGACACCUCCAUGGCCCUCCAAGCACUUACAGCUGUAGGAGAACGCAUUGAUGGGCAAGCAGGUGCCAUGUACGCAUCUACAGGGAGGAGGAACACAGGAGUGGGAAUGCAUUCAGAAGAGGAGGAAAUGACUCAUCCAUUGGCAUUCAAAGCAGGCAUCAGUCAGACAGCUAGGUGUACGAAACCACUAGGUUAUACGGUAUGCUUGUGACUUGGCUUCACCCAUCCAAAAGCAACCCUGUAAACUGGAGUGCUGGCAAGAAUGGAAGAUUUGGUUUUUAAUGAGACUCUCUGCUGUGAUUCCCAUGAAGCAAUCAGAUAAGUCAACUUGCUGAGUAGACUCACUAUGCAAUACUUUAUUUAUAAUGCAUUAUAGUUACUUGAAGAUGCCUCUGCAUUCUUGACUUUUUAGGGAGUAGAAUGGACAUUUCUUCUUCAACUUUAUAUCCUUUAUGUAUCCAUUUACUUAGUUCCUAGUAUGUGGUAAGUACUCAAUAAAUAUUUACAGAAUUGAACCAAAGACUUCCAACUGUUUCUAAAACAAUCCAACUCUGUCAAAAUGUUAAGACUGUCUACUACUGAAAUUAUUAAAACAGAAAUGUCCUAGGCUUAGAGGCACUGAAAAGAAGGCUUUGAGUGGUUGAGAUAAUGGUGUAGCAUAGGUUAUUAUUUUUCAGAAAAUGAUGUGAAACUCAUGAAAAUAUCUGUCAUGGUGAUGAAAUUGUACACUAACCUGUUCAAAGCUUUUACUUAUUUAUCUGUAAAAUAAGUUAAUCAGUCAAUUCAAAUAA